rnacentral:rRNA from 1 species
GACGAACGCUGGCGGCGUGCUUAACACAUGCAAGUCGAACGGAAAGGCCCUGCUUUUGUGGGGUGCUCGAGUGGCGAACGGGGGAGUAACACGUGAGUAACCUGCCCUUGACUUUGGGAUAACUUCAGGAAACUGGGGCUAAUACCGGAUAGGAGCUCCUGCUGCAUGGUGGGGGUUGGAAAGGUUCGGCGGUGGGGGAUGGACUCGCGGCUUAUCAGCUUGUUGGUUGGGUAGUGGCUUACCAAGGCUUUGACGGGUAGCCGGCCUGAGAGGGUGACCGGCCACAUUGGGACUGAGAUACGGCCCAGACUCCUACGGGAGGCAGCAGUGGGGAAUAUUGCACAAUGGGCGGAAGCCUGAUGCAGCAACGCCGCGUGCGGGAUGACGGCCUUCGGGUUGUAAACCGCUUUCGCCUGUGACGAAGCGUGAGUGACGGUAAUGGGUAAAGAAGCACCGGCUAACUACGUG